AGGUACAGUAAUAAGGAGAUGCCCUCCCUCCCUCCCUCUGAUUAGAGACCCCAGACCAGGAUGUGAGCUCCAGAGACUUGAAGGAGACUGAGGUGAGGUACAGUAAUAAGGAGUAGCCCUCCCUCCCUCCCUCUGAUUAGAGACCCCAGACCAGGAUGUGAGCUCCAGAGACUUGAAGGAGACUGAGGUGAGGUACAGUAAUAAGGAGAUGCCUCCCCCCCUUAGCGGUGGGGACCGGGAGUACAACUUCCACUUUUUGCAAUUUCAGAUGCGUUUUUUGUGUCUAACUGCCCGUUUAUCGUUGAUGAUUGGUUGUUGCCGUGGGCAAUGGUGAAAGCGGAUACCUAUGGAUAAACAGAUAUGUGAACUCCUCUUGUAUUCUGAAAUGAAACCGGAGGGAGGAGGGGAGGACUGAGAACUAUUACCUGAACAUAAAGAAUAAAAAGAGGGUUUAAUGGAGAAAGAAGAUGUGAACACCUUCUAACGUGCGAGAGGGAGGGCCGGGCGAACGAGAGGAUGGACAGACUUCUUUCUCUUUGAUUCAUUUCUCUCUUAAUCUAGAAUUUUUCUCUCCCUGUUUUUUGAUGUUGGGUUUUAUUAAGCGGGGUGGGUGAGGAGAUGGGGAGGGAGAAGUGGGCCGGCUGUGUGUGUGUUACCAUGUUUGCGUCCCAAAAGGGCACCCUAUUCCCUUCAUAUAGUGCACUACUUGUGUCCAGGGCCCAUGGGGAUCUGAUCAAAAGUGGUGCGCUAUAUAGGGAGUAGGGUGCCAUUUGGGACUUAUCCUCUGAGAUGGGUUCAGUUUCUCUCCGGACAGCAAGAUGAACACCGGGGUCACACCCCAGCACUAUAAAGAAGCACCCUUCCUUCCUUCCUUCCUUCCUUCCUUCUUACUCUCCUUGUUCUUUGUGACAUCACUGACUUGACACAACUUGAAAGUGUAAAAGCUUGAACUCCAUUUUUUCAGUCAUGUCUGAUUCAUUGAUUAUUUCAAGAAAGGAGGCAGAGAGGGAAGGAAGGAGGGAACGAGGGGAAAAAGAGGAAGGAUGAGUGAAGAGAGGAGGGAGAGAGGGAAGGAAGGAAGAGAGGGAGGUCGGGGUACAUUUUAAAGGUGUUGGAAUGUGGCUCUUGCCUUACAGCUCUGACCUGUAAAUGAACACACGCCACUGAUUUUAUAUAUAUAAAUAAAUAAAUAUAUAUUAUAUACGAUGAAAAGUCCCUAAAAAUAAUUGGAUUAUGUUGUUGGGAGGGAGAACGGCUAAUCUGCC
rnacentral:lncRNA from 1 species